rnacentral:rRNA from 1 species
AUCACUUUCGAUGGUAGGAUAGAGGCCUACCAUGGUUUAACGGGUAACGGGAAUUAGGGUUCGAUUCCGGAGAGGGAGNUGAGAAACGGCUACCACAUCCAAGGAAGGCAGCAGCGCGCAAAUUACCCAAUCCCGACACGGGGAGGUAGUGACAAUAAAUAACAAUACGGGGUUCUUUCGGAUCUCGUAAUUGGAAUGAGUACAAUUUAAAUCUCUUAACGAGGAACAAUUGGAGGGCAAGUCUGGUGCCAGCAGCCGCGGUAAUUCCAGCUCCAAUAGCGUAUAUUAAAGUUGUUGCAGUUAAAAAGCUCGUAGUUGAAUUUCGGGGUCAAUAAGUUGGUCGUGCCAAUGGUAUGCACUGGCUUUAUUGAUUCCUACCUCUUGACGAACUGUGAUGCCAUUAAUUUGGUGUCGCAAGGAAUCAGGACUGUUACCUUGAAAAAAUUAGAGUGUUUAAAGCAGGCUUACGCUUGAAUACAUUAGCAUGGAAUAAUGAAAUAGGACGUUUGAACCUAUUUUGUUGGUUUCUAGGAUCGACGUAAUGAUUAAUAGGGAUAGUUGGGGGCAUUAGUAUUCAAUUGUCAGAGGUGAAAUUCUUGGAUUUAUUGAAGACUAACUACUGCGAAAGCAUUUGCCAAGGAUGUUUUCAUUAAUCAAGAACGAAAGUUAGGGGAUCGAAGACGAUCAGAUACCGUCGUAGUCUUAACCAUAAACUAUGCCGACUAGGGAUCGGAUGAUGUUAAUUUUUUAAUGACUCAUUCGGCGCCUUACGGGAAACCAAAGUGUUUGGGUUC